UACAGAGGGGGCGAGCGUUGUUCGGAAUUACUGGGCGUAAAGGGCGCGUAGGCGGCCAACUAAGUCAGACGUGAAAUCCCUCGGCUCAACCGGGGAACUGCGUCUGAUACUGGAUGGCUUGAGUUCGGGAGAGGGAUGCGGAAUUCCAGGUGUAGCGGUGAAAUGCGUAGAUAUCUGGAGGAACACCGGUGGCGAAGGCGGCAUCCUGGACCAAGAUUGACGCUGAUGCGCGAAAGCCAGGGGAGCAAACGGG
rnacentral:rRNA from 1 species